rnacentral:rRNA from 1 species
AACGAACGCUGGCGGCAUGCCUAACACAUGCAAGUCGAACGAGACCUUCGGGUCUAGUGGCGCACGGGUGCGUAACGCGUGGGAACCUUCCCUUAGGUUCGGAAUAACUCCCCGAAAGGGGUGCUAAUACCGGAUAAUGUCUUCGGACCAAAGAUUUAUCGCCUUUGGAUGGGCCCGCGUUGGAUUAGCUAGUUGGUAGGGUAAAAGCCUACCAAGGCGACGAUCCAUAGCUGGUCUGAGAGGAUGAUCAGCCACACUGGGACUGAGACACGGCCCAGACUCCUACGGGAGGAAGCAGUGGGGAAUAUUGGACAAUGGGCGAAAGCCUGAUCCAGCAAUGCCGCGUGAGUGAUGAAGGCGUUAGGGUUGUAAAGCUCUGUUACCCGGGAUGAUAAUGACAGUACCGGGAGAAUAAGCGCCGGCUAACUCCGUG